AGAGUUUGAUCAUGGCUCAGAACGAACGCUGGCGGCGCGCUUAACACAUGCAAGUCGAGCGGUUCCGGGGCAACUCGGAGCCGCGGCGGACGGGUGCGUAACACGUGGGUAAUCUGCCCUCAAGGUUGGGAUAACUCGCCGAAAGGCGAGCUAAUACCGGAUAAGCCCCCGUAUUCUUCGGGAUACGAGGGAAAGGAGCAAUCCGCUUGAGGAUGAGCCCGCGGCCCAUCAGCUAGUUGGCGGGUAACGCCCACCAAGGCAACGACGGGUAGCUGGUCUGAGAGGAYGRYCAGCCACACUGGAACUGAGACACGGUCCAGACUCCUACGGGAGGCAGCAGUGGGGAAUCUUGCGCAAUGGGAGCAAUCCUGACGCAGCAACGCCGCGUGGGUGAUGAAGGUCUUCGGAUCGUAAAGCCCUGUCGGAGGGGAAGAUGCUUGGAACGUCUAAAAGAUGAGCCAGGUGACGGUACCCUCAAAGGAAGCACCGGCUAACUCUGUGCCAGCAGCCGCGGUAAUA
rnacentral:rRNA from 1 species